UACGAAGGGGGCUAGCGUUGUUCGGAAUCACUGGGCGUAAAGCGCACGUAGGCGGAUCGUUAAGUCGGGGGUGAAAUCCCAGGGCUCAACCCUGGAACUGCCUUCGAUACUGGCGAUCUUCGAGUCCGGGAGAGGUGAGUGGAACUCCGAGUGUAGAGGUGAAAUUCGUAGAUAUUCGGAAGAACACCAGUGGCGAAGGCGGCUCACUGGCCCGGUACUGACGCUGAGGUGCGAAAGCGUGGGUAGCAAACAGG
rnacentral:rRNA from 1 species